CCCUUAGAGUUUGAUCCUGGCUCAGRACGAACGCUGGCGGCGCGCCUAACACAUGCAAGUCGAACGGAGCUGAGAAGAGCUUGCUUUUCUUAGCUUAGUGGCGAACGGGUGAGUAACGCGUGAGUAACCUGCCCUGGAGUGGGGGACAACAGUUGGAAACGACUGCUAAUACCGCAUAAGCCCACGGAUCCGCAUGGAUCUGCGGGAAAAGGAUUUAUUCGCUUCAGGAUGGACUCGCGUCCAAUUAGCUAGUUGGUGAGGUAACGGCCCACCAAGGCGACGAUUGGUAGCCGGACUGAGAGGUUGAACGGCCACAUUGGGACUGAGACACGGCCCAGACUCCUACGGGAGGCAGCAGUGGGGGAUAUUGCACAAUGGGGGAAACCCUGAUGCAGCGACGCCGCGUGGAGGAAGAAGGUUUUCGGAUUGUAAACUCCUGUCGUUAGGGACGAUAAUGACGGUACCUAACAAGAAAGCACCGGCUAACUACGUGCCAGCAGCCGCGGUAAAACGUAGGGUGCAAGCGUUGUCCGGAAUUACUGGGUGUAAAGGGAGCGCAGGCGGACCGGCAAGUUGGAAGUGAAAACUAUGGGCUCAACCCAUAAAUUGCUUUCAAAACUGCUGGCCUUGAGUAGUGCAGAGGUAGGUGGAAUUCCCGGUGUAGCGGUGGAAUGCGUAGAUAUCGGGAGGAACACCAGUGGCGAAGGCGACCUACUGGGCACCAACUGACGCUGAGGCUCGAAAGCAUGGGUAGCAAACAGGAUUAGAUACCCUGGUAGUCCAUGCCGUAAACGAUGAUUACUAGGUGUUGGAGGAUUGACCCCUUCAGUGCCGCAGUUAACACAAUAAGUAAUCCACCUGGGGAGUACGACCGCAAGGUU
rnacentral:rRNA from 1 species